AGAAUCAACGCUGGCGGCGUGCCUAACACAUGCAAGUCGAACGAGAAAGUGGAGCAAUCCAUGAGUAAAGUGGCGACCGGGUGAGUAACACGUGACUAACCUACCUUCGAGUGGGGGAUAACCUCGGGAAACCGAGGCUAAUACCGCAUAACAUCGUGAGAUCAAAGCAGUAAUGCGCUGGAAGAGGGGGUCGCGGCUGAUUAGCUAGUUGGCGGGGUAAUGGCCCACCAAGGCGAAGAUCGGUAGCCGGCCUGAGAGGGCGCACGGCCGACACUGGAACUGAAACACGGUCCAGACUCCUACGGGAGGCAGCAGUGGGGAAUUUUGCGCAAUGGGGGAAACCCUGACGCAGCAACGCCGCGUGGAGGAUGAAGUCCCUUGGGACGUAAACUCCUUUCGACCAAGACGAUAAUGACGGUACUGGGUGGAGGAAGCACCGGCUAACUCUGUGCCAGCAGCCGU
rnacentral:rRNA from 1 species